GGGGUGUAAGCUCAGCUGUUUCCCAGGAGGUGGAGGUGCUCAUUGCUGGCCUAGGAUGGAGAAGGUGAAGGAGAAAAUCUGGCAGGAACUGCAGGAACUGCGGCCAGCAAGGAAAGCCCAUGUGAGGACAGAGAGAAGGCAGCUGUCUGCAGGACAGAAAGAGAGUCCUCACCAGAAUCCAACUCUGUUGGUGCCUUGAUCUUGGACUUCCGGCCUCCAGAACUGCACAUUUGUGAGGAAACUUCACCUUGACCAAUUUGAGGACCACUGACUUGGAAAGUAUAUUCUCUUUCAGAGCAGGAGGGAUGAACAAGAUUUGACUCCUGCAGCCUCUAGAUGGCUGCCUUAGGAUCUGGGCAAGUGCAGCCUGCCUCAGCUCCCAUCUGUGUCUACUUUACAUUCCAGUAGAACAGGGCUGUUUGCUGUUGCCUGUUCUUUCUGAUUAACCUGUACUCAUCGUGUACAUCUUUGACCAGCACCAUCCACUCCAUUAAUCUUCCUGGAGAAUCUUCAAGAGAAGUAGAAUUUACUUUCCAUGACCCCUACCACUUUGAAGAAUAUUUAGUAGUUGUUUUUUCUGGCAUGUCUUUGUCAAAAGAAUUAUUUUUUAUGCCAAAGAAACCUAAGAAGUAUCCUAAUGUCAGCACCUUCAAAUGGAAAAUGUUUCAAGAAGGCUUCUCAUCAUCAACCUGCUUUCAUGUCCAUUUUCAUGUGAAUUGUUGAUGGGAAAAUAGAAUUUCAUCACUACCGUUGGUGAAGACAUUCCUAAGAACACAGAGUUAGUGCAUGCAGUUACCUGGGGGGGUUGGGAGGGGGUGGGGGAAGAGGGCUUGCAGAACUUUAUAGCAGCCCAGGCUCACUAAGAUUUGCUAUGUCCACUUAUACACCUUAUGAAGUCCUCUAUGCCAUGGCAAGUUCUCUUGGGAGUCACACCUUCAUUUCUUGGGUCCCCUUGGGUUUUUCAGACCACCACUUAUUAGUCACAUGAUCAUUAAAAAGUAAAUGCACCUCUCUGACAUCAAUUCUUAGUUUGAGAAAUAGAAUAAUAAUUCGGACCCAGCCUACCUCAAAGGCCCAUUAUCAAGGUCAAAAAUGAUGUAUGUGAUGAGCUUUUUAAAAGUAAAAUUUAUGAAGCAAACACGAAGUAGUGAAUUGUGGUGAUAUCAACAUUUUGAUACAAAACUCACUUGGUUUAGUAAUUUGAAGAGGAUGCCAUCUAUAUCUUUUUAUAACCGGGAGCUUUUGAUACCUUUUUCCUAAACUACAAAACUCAUAGAACCUUCGUUAGCUUCUCUGUGCCCCAGCCCUUCAAUAAAUUGACAUCACAAUAGAGGUUAAAAUAAGGCAAACUCACAGUGGCCUAGAGAUACGUGUUUGUGUGUGUCUGUGUGUGUGCAUUUAAGAAGAUGCACGUGUACCUUUGACCUAGCACCUACCUGUGUUCAUACAAUUAAAAAAGAAAUAAUGACUCAUUAAGCAAACAAGUUCUAGAAAAAAAUACUCAUUUAAUACAAUCACAGUGACUUCCUCACUGUUUCCACUUCAUUGCUCCUUAUGUGAGUAAAAACAACAUGCUAAAUGGAGACUUUCAGGACCCCGUGGGACCAAUUAAUGCCACGUGACUUCCUCCCUGCCUUCCAUGAAAAUAACUAUAUUAUAAUGGUCUGUGAUAUUAAUAUCAGCUUUGGAAAAGUCAGGCAGUGACUCCAUAGGGAAGGAAGUGGCCUGUGCAAGAACUGUGGAAUGUGCAGUAUUUGACAGACUGGAGGCCACAUCUUUUUAUAAGCUACAUCACAGAGUUAAACAAGGUGGGGGCACCAACUGGGCUAGUGGGUUAAUUCAGGUUAAAAGGCCACCAGGGUAGUCUAUCUCUGAUCUUGAACUCCAAGAAAAUGUGGUUACUGGGGGGAGUUUUGGAAAUUAAAGUUCUCAGAAAUAAAACCAUUUCCAAAGCAUUAUUUUCCUCUGAAUUUCUCCAGAUUUCUGCCCACCACAGAGGCAGGAUGUAUUUUGACAACCUCUGUUUGUAUUGGAGGGUAGACCUGGGAUGAGGAGUGGUGGGUACACCUCCCAAGUGUGUUGGCAGCUUGAUGGGGUUUUCCAGUGACAGUGGAGCACAGCAGAACCAAAGGGAAUGUGAGCCACAACACUGGUAGCCAGUCCAGGCUUCCUUCAAAUGCAGUUAUAGGAAUCCCAGGCCCAUGCAACACCCAGGCCCCAUCCUAGUCCCACUCCCUGCUGGGUCCUGGAGAGAUUCAGUGUUCUCCCUGUGGCUAGGCAGAUUCUCCUCUCUAGCAUAUGGCAAUGAGCCCGUUAAUUUUCUUGGUUGUAAAUUGCUGUAGUGCAUUAACAACACUCAAGGGUGGUCCCAAAGCACAAUUGAGGAUAUUAAGUUCUCCUGGGAACAGAUGUUUAAUGGUACAUCUAAUUAUCCAGGAAAGAUUGCCUAAGACAAUGAUCUAGAUCCAAUUCCUGGACAGUGGCUAAUGGUUUGGCCAGACAGUCAGAGGCUUGGAAGGAAUAAUAUUGGAGAAUUGGUGAUGGGGAAGAUUAGGGAAGAAUGAACCCAAUGUAUGAGAAUAUUUGUGCUUCAUCUGCAUGAUCCCCCAAAGGUUCCCACUGUGGGGAAAACUUUAAAUAAUUAAGAUGAAAAAAUGACUUUUUGUUGUUGUUCCUAGAGAUGUCCAUCAGAAUCUUUCCCUGGUGCUAGACCAAUGGACUCCAGAGCAGCCAUGGUGGCAGGGAUGAAGGCUAUGCAGGAGCCUAAUGACAAGGACUUUCUCUCAUCAUGGUGACCUGCCUAGUGACUCAGCUGAAUUCCUAAUUGAUCAGGAGUAGCAGCCAGGUCUGACAACCAGUAUGACACUGUAUCAAAGAGUUCCAAUCAACUACCUGGUAGAAGCCAAUUAUAUUGAACCCUUCCAUCGUGGUAGGGGCAGAAAUUACCCUCACUGGAAUAGAUAGCUAUUCUAUAUAUAAGUUUACCAUCACUGCUCUACUGUGCUUCUACUAACACUUUCAUCAUGUUUAAGAACUCAAAUUCGUAAACAUCACAAUGGAAGUCUCAUUCUACAUUCUUAUGUUUUAUAAUCAUAUUAUUUUCUUGACAUUUAUUUUCCAAAUUCUUGAAAUAAAAUUGAAGGUGACUCAUAAUAUAAGGGUAAUGUCAUGCAAAUAAACUUUUGAAAUAAUUUAAACAAGCUGACCCAUAAUAAAAUUAAAAUUGUAAGUAGAUCCUUUAUGAGUAAGGAACUUACUUUACUGAGAAAGAAAUAAGACAAUGGGCUAAUUACCAUAGAAUUUACUGGUCUAGCCAGAAGCAAAUGACCUUAUGGAAAAACAGAAUGGUCUAUUGAAGACUUAGAUAUGGUACCCCUGGCUGCCAGCUGGCAGACAACAUCUUGCACAUUUAGGUGCUGUUCUUUAGGAUAAAGCAUUUACUUUCAUUUAGCUGUGAAUAAAUGGCACUCUUUCUUCCUAUUCUGGGAUACACAGAUUGAGAAGCCUUGGGAAAAAAAUAUAAGGCCACCAGUCAAAAUUAUAUCUAAUUAUCCACUAUUAAAAUUUUGCAUCCUGGG
rnacentral:lncRNA from 1 species